UCCAGAGGGUGCAAGCGUUGUUCGGAAUUAUUGGGCGUAAAGGGCGCGUAGGCGGCGCCACAAGUCACCUGUGAAAACUCUGGGCUCAACCCAGAGCCUGCAGGCGAAACUGUGGUGCUGGAGUAUGGGAGAGGUGCGUGGAAUUCCCGGUGUAGCGGUGAAAUGCGUAGAUAUCGGGAAGACCACCGGUGGCGAAGGCGGCGACCUGGUCCGAUACUGACGCUGAGGCGCGAAAGCGUGGGGAGCAAACCGG
rnacentral:rRNA from 1 species